CUUCCCCUCUUCCUCCUCUUUCUACCUAUACCACUCAUAUCCUCCAAAUCUCCACCAAUCUCCGUAGAUCUAAGCCUAACCGAAACCCUAGCCGCCGCCCAUCACCCCAAAACUCCAAAAAUUUUACACCACCGGCCUCCUCUUCUCCCCCUCUUUCCAUAUCUCCGACUCAAAAAUCAAAAAAAACCCACGCCGCCCUAGCGCCACCACCACUGCCCUAGCGCCGCCGCCACUGCCGCCCACUGCCGCCCGUUUCUUUUCUCUAACCGGCCUCGAGCAAGGUUGUGUCGUUGAUAUUAUUGAAACCGGACUCGGAUUCACCGGAAUUUUUUGGUUUCAAGAAUAUCAACAAUAGAAGCUUGCUCGAAAGUCGUACCACUGCCUAUCGUCGUCUCCCGGAUGCUCGAGUAUAUGAUAUUUUCACAUUAACAAGAAGAUUGGAACUCAUCUUGAUUGUUGGGAGCAUAUCCAUUUAAAUAAAUGAGUGCUUAGCUAAAUUUCUUUAUUGUUAAAUAUAUCUUGUUGUAGUUCAUAUGUAAAAAAAUAAAUCCUUGGUUGAUCAAACACUCUUUAUUCAUGUGUUAUU